GAUGUCUCUGAAGGAACAACCGAGUUGGCUAUAGGACUGAACUGAGCACUGGGGGCACUGGGUCCCAAAGCUGGCCCUGCCACCAACCAGGUGUGAUGUGAAGCAACAUCCAAGUCAAUGGAAACAAGGAAUGGCUCCAGAGGGCCAACCUAGACCGAGGAGAGAGUCACGGGGAGCCAGACCAUAGAUUUCAGGAGUGAACCAGAUAAUCUCCCUCCAAGUCACUAAACGGUAAAGACACCUAGUUAACUGGGCGAGGCUGUGAAAUGCCUGGAGCAAGGAGGUGAUUACUUCGCUGUGAAUACCUGGAAUUCUAC